rnacentral:rRNA from 1 species
UACGUAGGUGGCAAGCGUUAUCCGGAAUUAUUGGGCGUAAAGAGUGAGCAGGCGGCAGUUUAAGUUUGGAGUCAAAGCGAGGGGCUCAACCCCUUAACGCUCUGAAAACUGAACAGCUAGAGUGCGAGAGAGGUAAGUGGAAUUCCAUGUGUAGCGGUGAAAUGCGUAGAUAUAUGGAGGAACACCAGUGGCGAAGGCGACUUACUAGCUCGAUACUGACGCUCAGUCACGAAAGCGUGGGUAGCAAAUAGGAUUAGAUACCCUGGUAGUCC